ensembl:miRNA
CAUGCCUUGAGUGUAGGACCGUUGGCAUCUUAAUUACCCUCCCACACCCAAGGCUUGCA